rnacentral:rRNA from 1 species
GGAUUGUAGUCUGCAACUCGACUACAUGAAGCUGGAAUCGCUAGUAAUCGCGAAUCAGAAUGUCGCGGUGAAUACGUUCCCGGGUCUUGUACACACCGCCCGUCACACCAUGGGAGUCAGCAACGCCCGAAGCCGGUGACCCAACCGAAAGGAGGGAGCCGUCGAAGGUGGGGCCGAUAACUGGGGUGAAGUCGUAACAAGGUACC